GGUGUAGUGGGGUAUUCAGUUAUUUCACUACUCCUUUGGUCGUUUACUGUGAGAAAAUUAGAGUGUUCAAAGCGGGCGUUUGUUUGAAUAGAUUAGCAUGGAAUAAUGAUUGAAGGCUUUCGUGUUCGAUUUGAUUGGUUUGUUCAUGGAAGCAAGGUUAAAAGGAACAGUUGGGGGUAUUCAUAUUCACUAGUUAGAGGUGAAAUUCUCGGAUUUAUGGAAGAUGAACAGGUGCGAAAGCAUUUACCAAGGAUGUUUUCAUUAAUCAAGAACGAAAGCUAGGGGAUCGAAGAGGAUUAGAUACCCUCGUAGUCUUAGCUAUAAACGAUACCGACUAGGGGUUAGUAGAGGUCAAUGUGUCUCUAUUAGUAC
rnacentral:rRNA from 1 species